GAUGAACGCUGGCGGCGUGCCUAAUACAUGCAAGUCGAGCGGACAGACGAGGAGCUUGCUCCUCUGACGUUAGCGGCGGACGGGUGAGUAACACGUGGAUAACCUACCUAUAAGACUGGGAUAACUUCGGGAAACCAGAGCUAAUACCGGAUGAUAUAAUGAACCGCAUGGUUCAAUAGUGAAAGACGGUUUUGCUGUCACUUAUAGAUGGAUCCGCGCCGCAGUAGCUAGUUGGUAAGGUAACGGCUUACCAAGGCAACGAUGCGUAGCCGACCUGAGAGGGUGAUCGGCCACACUGGAACUGAGACACGGUCCAGACUCCUACGGGAGGCAGCAGUAGGGAAUCUUCCGCAAGGGGCGAAAGCUUGACGGAGCAACGCCGCGUGAGUGAUGAAGGUCUUCGGAUCGUAAAACUCUGUUAUUAGGGAAGAACAAAUGUGUAAGUACCUAUGCACGUCUUGACGGUACCUAAUCAGAAAGCCACGGCUAACUACGUG
rnacentral:rRNA from 1 species